AAUAGAUGACGCCGUUGACUUUUUAUCACAUGUUUAACCAUUCAUCUUAUUCAAAAAAUUUACGUAAUUAUAAUUUAUUUUGUUAUGAGUUGUUUUAUUACUUAUAGUACUUUAAAUGUGAUUUAUAUCUUAUACAUUUGCAUAAAAUUUUUGAAUAAGAUGAAUGGUUAAAUAUGUGAGAAAAAGUCAACGGCGUUAUCUAUU
rnacentral:pre_miRNA from 1 species